UGAGUUUGGUUGUGUGAGCAGUGUGUGUCUGAAUUCCUGGGGACUGGCCCAGGAGCGUUUUCAGGCUUAGGGACAUAGUCUUUGUGUGUAACCCCAAUGUGUCUUCCCUGAGAGUUUCAUUCUCCUUAACCAGGAGGGUUUUUUGACUUGUUUUAGCCUAAUGUAACUAAGCAACUUGGAAGAGGCAGCUGAAGUAGGUAGAACAGCUUGUCCUCUGCCCAAAUACCUUCAGCUGUUCUCAUGGCUCUCACCAGGUGCAUGGAGGUAUCUGCUGCUUCCUUGCAGUUCCCCCAGCUCAGUGGCUAUUAGUUAUAUGCUGUACUACAAGAAAGCAACUUGGACUAGCAGCGAGUUGCUCACCAGCACCACAGCAGCGGCUGGAGUGCCAGGAGAAACCAGAGCUGCUGUCUGCGAGGAGGAGGACAUCUCUGACAAUGACACCUUCUUCCCUGGUAUAAGGAAGAAGAGCCACACUCCUUUCACCUGAUGAGCACUCCUUAACUCUAAACAUUCAUCCUAAAAACUGCUUCUACAGCUUUCUAAUUUUUUUUUGCUUCAUCAUACAAAACAAGUGUGCUGAACUCCAUCCCUCCUGAGAUGUCAAUGGCCAGGCCUCCCAGGAACUCCGCACUGGCACUUGGCCCGGACUGCAGCUGAAUCUCCUAGAGCCAUCAGAAAGCACAGGUCAACUCGACUGGGACAGCAGACUCAGUGCUUUCCUUACUCGCUUUUGUACUGCAGUGCUACUGCUUGCUUUGUGUAGAAACAAAAAAGGAUGGAGGGCUCUCCUGAAAAGGUGGGCAAAAUGAUCCUGAUGUACCUUGCUCCCUAGAAAAGGGAGAUGAAGCUAAGGAAAGGUGCCUUGCAUCCUUCCCCUCUCUCUUGUGUCCCAGCUGGCAUAAUUUCUGCAAGGACUGGCCUCUGUCUCGAAGAGCUACCACACAGUCCUCAUGGAGGCUCUGCUGGUAGUUCAGCUAUGCUGGAUGAAACUCCUUGCUGGAGCCGCGGCAGUGGUGCUGUUCAGUGUGACUUCAGCACGCUCAAAGGCAGCCCUGCACUGGCAGCAGGAUGCAGAGUGCUGCAAGCAGUUGUGUGGUGCAUAGUGGUCUGGUGUAGUGGCUCCAAAGCCACUGUUACAACAGGAGGUUACAUCUUCAGUGGCUGGGUGGCCAAACCCCCAAGCUAAUAUUGCCUUACUUGCUGCUCUUAAAUUUGAAUUUGAUGUCUUUUCCAUCAACCAUCAAGUGUGCUCAUGGCUUCUUGAAACCUUUGCAGCUGGACCAGAGGCACAUCAUGUGGACUCUGUUUUGGAACUGGUAAUAUAGCUCAGGGUCUUGUCAGCUCACUGCUUUUAAUUUUGACCCACAGCCAAGAUGAUAAGGUUCGCUCAUCUUGGCAAUCUACCUCACUACAUAUCUGACUUGGUUCCCUUUAUGUAGUUGUCCUGUUUCCCUAAGAACUGGUGGAUUAAUUCACUGUAGUAAAAGAACCAUUAACUGGGGAAAAAGUUCAUUUUAAGUCCCUUGUGCACAGGACACUUCCUACUCCCUCCCAUGUGGCUUCCUUUCUCCUCCUGAGUUUCUGUGCUUGUGCUCAGAAGCACCUUUAAUGCUGCAGGCAUAUGUUGGGCAUGUAAAGACCCCCAUUUGCUCUCUCUUUUUGAUGUUUAGGUAUCUUAAAACUCUCAUCUUUUUCUUAGCUAUUCAGUAGACCAGUGAUUCCAGUUACUACUGUUUCAAGAUUGAAGAGGGAAGCAGUCAGAGACAAACUGGCUUCCUAAACCUAUAGUAAGGAGCAAUAUCUGGGGAAGUUUUUAUGCAGAGCUUUAAAGGUUUCCUGCCAUGAUCAAGGACUUGGAUAAUUCUGGUGGCUGUAUAUAGUUACAUCACCUUUUAAGGUAAAUAAACAAUCUCUGCCUUGGCAGAACCGACUUGGCAGCCAGUUGCUGCUGAAGUGGGCUUGAGAAUUACUGUAAGAAUGCAGCAGGAUGGCUGUGGAGUUAUAACUCCAGCACACCCCCAGCACGUAUGGGCAUACUGUGCUCUGGUUUCUUCUUUGACUCCAAGUUAAAAUCAUGCACUGAAACUAUGACCCUUCUGAAAUCCAAGGGAGAUAUAUUUUUUCCUACUGACUGCAGUGGGGCAAGGAAUAUUUUCUUUGACAGACUGUUUAGGUGUGAAGAUAAAGCUUGUUUUACUUCAUUUUACUUGCGUUUUAAUUGGGACUGAAUUGAUAGGCAGCUGCUAAUGAGCGAGGAGGUAACAGUAUAUGCUCUGGCACAGACCUGCAGACAACCAGAGGAGCAGGUAUUUUUAGAUGCAUUGUCAAAUUGCACUUAAUAAUGUUAAGAGUAGGGUUGGUUUGCAAUGUCUGCUCAGUUUAAGGCUUUAAAGGCUACCUAGAAUUAAGUGGGGUUUGUCACUGGAACUAGCAGAGAAGGUAAGUAGCACUUGUCUUGGGUUUUAGCAGCUCAUCUACUUCCUUAUUUAGAGCUCAGUCCUGUCCUUCACCUCGUGUGCAAAUCCAAUCCAGGCUGGUGGGAGGUGUAAAUCACAGGGACCUAGACUCCUCAGGAGCAGUAUUUUCCUUUCCCUUCCUAUUUUAAGCUUUGUGUGUCAUUUGCAGUGGAAAAUGUGAUCCAAAGGAUCCGAACUGGUAGUUUGUUGCUGUUCAAAAUGCCCAGAC